rnacentral:lncRNA from 1 species
AACCGUUGGUAUAUGUCUCAAUAGAGAGCCUAUUCUGAGGGUCAUAUUCUAACCGUCGAUAUAGAGCAUUUUUUGGGCCUUUUUAGCGAGGGUCAUGAGAUGGUUGCACAAAACCCUCCCAUUCCCCCCACCCCAAUUCAUUUCAGUUCUGUAUCGUGUUCUAGCUCAAUCCUCUGACUCCCCAUCUCAAAACCUAAAUCCUCUAAUCUCUCUGAUCAGCUACUCUAAAUUGCCAAAACCUAAAUCUUCUUAGCCGAAUCACACCCUAAGUACGACCACACUCAAUCGAAGGUCAAUCGAACCAAAGGCUUCUCUCAAUCGAAGGUUCCUCCAAUCAAAGCACAAACAGAAAGAUGGCGAUAGAGAUCGAGAAACAAAACGAAU